rnacentral:rRNA from 1 species
GUCCACGCCCUAAACGAUGGAUGCUAGACGUAGGAGGUAUCGACCCCUCCUGUGUCGCAGCUAACGCACUAAGCAUCCCGCCUGGGGACUACGGCCGCAAGGUUGAAACUCAAAUGAAUUGACGGGGACCCGCACAAGCGGUGGAGCAUGUGGAUUAAUUCGAUACUAACCGAAGAACCUUACCCAGGUUUGACAUCGAGAGAAAAGCUGUGAAAGCAGCUCCUCUCCCACAAGGAGACUCAAAGACAGAUGUUGCAUGGCUGUCGU